rnacentral:misc_RNA from 1 species
AGUUCUAAGGCCAGUGCUUGGAUCCUUGCUUAAUAGGGAUCUCACAACUUCCAAAUGCCCCAUCCUUGCAGCAGAAUGAAGAGCAGUUUUACCAUUAUUCCGAGCAAUUUUAACUAGAUUUGAAUCUGUUUCCAGAAGGAGAUUCACCACAUCAAUGUAUCCCUGAGUGGCAGCUGUGUGUAAGGCAGUUGUACAAGAUAAAUCUGCGGUCAUGGCCAAGUUGGGGAACCCAUGCAAGAGUUCCUUCAACACCUCAAGAUGACCCUGCUUAGCUGCAAUAUGGAAUGGAUCAAAUCCAUUCCUAGCUGC